AUGGACAUCGUGACCGCAUAUCUUUACGGGUCACUAGAUUCGGACAUAUAUAUGAAGGUUCCUGAUGGAAUCUCUGUCCCGAAUAAAAAUGCAAAACAUAACAUGUAUUAUGUAAAGCUGAAUAAGUCAUUAUAUGGCUUAAGGCAGUCAGGACGGAUGUGGUACAACCGACUCAGUGAGUUCCUUCUUCAGAAAGGUUACUCCAGUAGUGCUGAUUGCCCAUGUGUUUUCAUCAAGAAGUCCUCUAUAGGAUUUUGCAUCAUUUCUGUGUAUGUUGAUGAUCUCAACAUCAUCGGCAGCACACCAGACAUUGAUGAAGCACGCAAUCACCUAAAGAUGGAAUUUGAGAUGAAGGAUUUGGGUAAAACCAAAUUUUGCUUAGGUAUUCAACUUGAGCAUCUUCCCUCAGGAAUCAUGGUACACCAAUCUGCCUAUAUCCAGAAAAUAUUGGAGAAAUUCAAUAUGGACAAAUCCUAUCCAUCCAAAACUCCUAUGGUGGUUCGAUCUCUAGACGUUGAGAAAGAUCCGUUCAGACCAAGGGAUGAUGGAGAAGAGGUGUUGGGACCUGAAGUUCCAUACCUCAGUGUCGUUGGAGCGCUUAUGUAUCUUGCAAAUUGCACAAGACCUGAUAUUGCAUUUGCAGUGAAUCUACUUGCUAGACAUAGCGCAGCUCCCACCAAACGUCAUUGGUCUGGAGUGAAGAAUAUCUUUCGAUAUCUCCAAGGCACAAAGGAUCUUGGCCUAUUUUUCCAGUUCCAGAAAAAUCAGGACUCUGAUGUGAUUGGGUAUGCAGAUGCCGGCUAUUUGUCUGAUCCCCAUAAUGCCAGAUCUCAUACCAGCUUCGUGUUCCUACAUGGUGGCACUGCUAUAUCAUGGAAGUCUUCGAAACAGACUCUGGUGGCAACAUCUACCAAUCAUUCUGAAAUAAUUUCAUUAUUUGAAGCAACAUGCGAAUGUGUAUGGCUUCGCAGAAUGAUAAACCACAUACAACAGUCAUGUGGAAUGGGUUCGAUAAAAUCACCUACCAUUAUCUAUGAAGAUAAUGCGGCCUGUGUUGCGCAGAUGCAAACAGGAUACAUCAAGAGUAAUAUCACCAAGCAUAUUUCUCCUAAAUGGUUUUUUCCCAUAAUCUUCACAAAAGCGGGGAAAUAA
rnacentral:rRNA from 1 species